rnacentral:lncRNA from 1 species
AAAGCGACAAAGACAAUUAUGCUAUGUGAAAUAUAUUUCAAUAAAACUAUGAUCCAAGGAUCUGUGUUAUCCCACAAUUUAAUUCCAGACAACUCAUAUCCAUUGUGAAGGACUUGGGACGCCUCACUGUCUUCCAAGAUAGGAAACAAGGGUUCAAUUAUGGGAUCCCUAUGUAAGGAGGCUCCUAUUUCUGGUGAAGUGCUCAGACUUCGGAGUACAAACGCCUCUGAGCCAGAGCUAUAACACUCCGCUGUGCCUCAGAGCUGUGGCACUUGGCUGUGACCCUGAGCUGUCCUGCUUUGCCACAACAUUACCUGCUUAUAGUCCCAGCAUGCAGCUGUCUCAGGCAGGAGGACUACAAAUUGAAGCCCAGCCUGGGACACUUAGCAAGAGCCUGC